rnacentral:tRNA from 1 species
GCUCCCGUAGUUCAACGGAUAGAAUAGGCGCUUGCGGAGCGUCUGAUAACAGUUCGAUUCUGUUCGGGAGCG